UCCUACGGGAGGCAGCAGUGGGGAAUUUUGGACAAUGGGGGCAACCCUGAUCCAGCCAUGCCGCGUGUGUGAAGAAGGCCUUCGGGUUGUAAAGCACUUUCGGCCGGAACGAAAUCGCCUUCGUUAAUAGCGGGGUGGAUGACGGUACCGGAAGAAGAAGCACCGGCUAACUACGUGCCAGCAGCCGCGGUA
rnacentral:rRNA from 1 species